CCGGCGUGACCCAUAGUAGUAGCUGUAAUAACUAAGAUUCCCAACCGCCCGCAAAAAGCUCUCGGUCCUGGAUACUACAGAUCUCGGGUCCGGACUGCUCUCAGCGAUAUUCACGUAGGGAAGGACUGCAAGCCAUCACUCCCCUCAACUGGAGAUAAAGCAAAGCCUGUCCCAAACCUUGGUCCCUCCUGUUCAUCCCUGCACACCAUGCUUAACACCCUCCUUGUCCCGGGUGCCUUGAACCCAGGUCAUCAUCAAUGUCCUUGGGAUCCACCAUGUUUCGGAGAACCAUCACUGUAGACUGUGGGAAAGAGAAUUGAAUGCUGUGAUUGUGGGAAAGAUAACUGAACGCUGUGACCUAUCGACCACUACGUCCGUACUACCGUACAAGCAGCAAUGGCACCAGUGCACUACCUACCUCCUGUUUUCUGAGUAGCUUUUGCAUGACCAUGUGUCGAGCACUGCUGCCAGAGAUGCUCAUGUGCUCCUGCUCACUCAACAUCUCUGGCCGCUCUGACUCUGGAAACAGCUCCUCCUCUUCCUUCUCCUUCUUGGGUUCCAACAGACCCAGCGUUGGCGGGCUGGCUAGGAUGGGGUUCACCACUCCCACAGAGGGGAUGGUGACCGGAAUAGGAGGGCGGGCUGGUGUCACACCUGCAGCAAAACCAACCAAGUUUAACAGCCACGCAUACAUCCUCUCUCAAGAAGGAAUAGAGAUGGUUGGCUAUAACCAGCCUGCCCUGGGUUCAAGUGAUUACACUGAAG
rnacentral:lncRNA from 1 species